UACGUAGGGCGCAAGCGUUAUCCGGAAUUAUUGGGCGUAAAGAGCUCGUAGGCGGUUUGUCGCGUCUGCCGUGAAAGUCCGGGGCUCAACUCCGGAUCUGCGGCGGGUACGGGGCAGACUAGAGUGAUGUAGGGGGAGACUGGAAUUCCUGGUGUAGCGGUGAAAUGCGCAGAUAUCAGGAGGAACACCGAUGGCGAAGGCAGGUCUCUGGGCAUUAACUGACGCUGAGGAGCGAAAAGCGUGGGGGAGCGAACAGG
rnacentral:rRNA from 1 species